GCCAGUGUAGUGUCCACUUUAAUGUUGACAAAGCCAAAUGUCAGCCGUCUCUCACCACUCUGUGGGCUCUGGAAAGAGCAAACAAGAGGACGUAGAUCUGCACUUGGUUCUCGAUUUUUGUCCACUAACUCAUCCUGCAGGUUUCGGGAUAUCGACACUGUUCCAGCUCCGGGAUGUUCAGUCUGACCGGGAAUGAAUAAAACAGAUGUUGACGCAUCGGAUGGACAGUGGAAACGUUUUCCUCCUCUGAGUGAAGCAGGAGAGCCGAGAGGAAAGCAGCGUUCCUGUGAAUCGCUGGCUGGAUAAGAGUGACUGGCCUGACCUUUGACCUCAGUGUCAUCAUCAUCUUUGACUCCUCAGACUUCUAAACAUGCAGGUACGACAGGAACAGUCCCAGGCACUUCAGGGCUGCCUGGGAAUGGUGGAGCUGUGGAGCCCUGCUGAGAUUUGGUGAAAGGCUAAUGUGGCUAACAGGUAAUGGAAGCUUGGAGCAACAAUGAGCAUGAUGCUAGCUGCAUGUCCAACUCAAGUUUUGUCGUAGCUUCUAAACUGUAGCCACUGCAGUUGCUAAUAGGUCGGUGGGUUGUGGUGGUCCCCCAUCUGAACUGGUCCACCGGGAGCCCUCUGAGACACACAAAGCUCCACCACAUCUUUUCAAACUGCCACUAGCCCAAUGUCA
ensembl:lncRNA